rnacentral:lncRNA from 1 species
ACACCACGGUGUGUGAUGUUCCCCUUCCUGUGUCCAUGUGAUGUCAAGCAUUUCUAAUUCACCAUAGAGUUGUCAUGAAACCCAAGCCAAACAGCUCUCUGUCCUGAAUAUAGACUUGAAAACCAUGGGCCAAAGCACAUCCCUGGUGUGUUACAUCUCCUCACUCCCCUUCUGUUGAGUGCGAGAGCAAUGAAUGGUGAAAGCAUUCGCUG